AGCGAGAUGCUCCUAUUGGAAGAGGGAGGACAGUAAAGUAAGUCACUGGGCAGUACCAGUAGAACCGUUAGCUUCUUCAGUUGACGCCACCAACCGAGCUCAACUGGACUUGAGGGCAAGCGGCUGUAAAAACAACUUAUCUGCAAGCCGUUAACGGAGCUGCAAAUAAGUUAGCAUCCGAGCCAGGCCUGUCCAUACCCAUACUGAGCUAGGUUAGCUCAGUAGGAGGAGACUAAGCUCUGUGGACGUGGAAAUUGCUACAAAAGUUACAAAAGUUCAAUGUAACUGACAACCGGGGAAUUCCGGAAGGAAUCAGCCGUUAAAGACACUUUGUAUCAGAUCAAGGGGAGGACUAGCUCCUGUUACAUCCUGGGAUGUAACAUGUAGCUCCUGGGAUGCUACCACUGCUACUUGGAUUGACAUCGCUGCCCCCUGGGAUCCUACAGGGGCUGCCGAGGUCUGUUCCUGGGUUUUGUCGACUGCUCCAUGGGCCUGCUCCUGGUCUUCAGUCACUGCUCCAUGGGCCAGCUCCUGGUCUUCAAUAUAUUAAUAUGGUGCCAAGAGGCUUCUUUACCUGAAGGGUGUGAUUGGGUUCUAUACACCUGUGAUUUCUCAUCUAAUCAUCUCAGAGUAUAUAAACAGCAGGCUGCCAGCACUUCAAUGCGUGAGUAUCAGUCAGUAAUGGUACUGUGUGUUCCUCUGAGUUUGCUCCCUGUGUGUUUAUGAGAUUACUUCUAAUAGUAUAUUGUUGCCUCUCCUUCAGGUGUUUCCUAUUGAUGCCUUGGAUUUAUCCCAGUGGAGCCCGAGUUCCUGGCUUUCUGGAUUUCUCCCCUCGUGACACUGUGGCUUGUUACCGACUGGUUGCCCGAGUCCCUCCCUCGCCUCUGCAGUUGAACCACAAACGGUUCCUGGAUUCUCAGCUGGCAGUCGGAUUGCUCCUCGUUCCUCCUCACCUGAACUUACCUGUCCGCCCUCCACCGCAGCCUUCACCAUCCACCUCCAACAAAUUCACCAUCUGACUCAUUCAAACUCUUUGCUGCCUUGUGUGCAAACCCAGUCUAGAAGUAAAACUGAUUUCUGCCAUUGCAACAAAUAUUUCUAUCCAAAAUAUAAGUAGUUUUUCUGCUGUCAUGUAAUAAAAUGCAAUUACAUAAUUUUAAAAA